rnacentral:rRNA from 1 species
GAGGCGCUCAAAGGUUCCCUCAGAAUGGUUGGAAAUCAUUCAUAGAGUGUAAAGGCAUAAGGGAGCUUGACUGCGAGACCUACAAGUCGAGCAGGGUCGAAAGACGGACUUAGUGAUCCGGUGGUUCCGCAUGGAAGGGCCAUCGCUCAACGGAUAAAAGCUACCCCGGGGAUAACAGGCUUAUCUCCCCCAAGAGUUCACAUCGACGGGGAGGUUUGGCACCUCGAUGUCGGCUCAUCGCAUCCUGGGGCUGUAGUCGGUCCCAAGGGUUGGGCUGUUCGCCCAUUAAAGCGGUACGCGAGCUGGGUUCAGAACGUCGUGAGACAGUUCGGUCCCUAUCCGUCGUGGGCGUAGGAAAUUUGAGAGGAGCUGUCCUUAGUACGAGAGGACCGGGAUGGACAUACCUCUGGUGUACCAGUUGUCGUGCCAACGGCAUAGCUGGGUAGCUAUGUGUGGACGGGAUAAGUGCUGAAAGCAUCUAAGCAUGAAGCCCCCCUCAAGAUGAGAUUUCCCAACUUCGGUUAUAAGAUCCCUCAAAGAUGAUGAGGUUAAUAGGUUCGAGGUGGAAGCAUGGUGACAUGUGGAGCUGACGAAUACUAAUCGAUCGAAGACUUAAUCAA